CAGAGCGGACUGCACACAUGGACCUGAACGUCUUGACCACAGCAUGAACUUGAUGAAGUAGUGGUGGAAGAAUUCACAUGGUAUAACCUCCUUGGGCAGCAGGGGUAGGCAGCAGUCAGUUAGUCUUCACACUGCUCUUCCAUGCGGCUGAGCUGCUCUGUCCAGUGGGUCAACCCCGGCCCUGUGAGACUGCACACCUUCAUGUCCCUCCUAACAAACUCCAUCUAAUAAGUUUUUCUCGGUCUACCACGACCCCUGUUGCCUGACGCUUUCAGUUUGGUGAUGGUGUUACUAGUGAUGCAGUCACUUGAUCUUUCUAUGUGUCCAAAAUGAUGAAACUAUGGUAUGGUGCAAUGUGGAGUUUUAACAUGCUAACAAAAGCCAUGCUGUACUGCAAGUACAUUUUGAGCGGGGGAAUAGAACAUUAUUCACUGUUGUCAUCUGAUUUUUGUGGUGUGUUUGUUAACAAAGCUGAUCCGGAAGACUCUGAAGUAUUGAGUCUGUACGCUAUACAUCUAUCCUGCACAACACACAAAGGAGGCUACACAAGUAUAGGCUUUAGCGAAAUACAUAUGGGUAUGAAUCUUUCUACAAAAACAGUGUAUCAAUGAAUACACAACUUUAAAAGUUGAAUGUGGCUAUUGUAUAGCCGGCAUUUGGGCUAAAAAAACACUGAUGUGCAUUUUGUACGAUGGUGGUAACACCUGGGUGCCUUAGCUGAUGAAAUUCGUACGAAUCUUAUGUGAUACGCAUGAAUC